rnacentral:rRNA from 1 species
GACGAACGCUGGCGGCGUGCUAACACAUGCAAGUCGAACGAUGAAGCCUUUCGGGGUGGAUUAGUGGCGAACGGGUGAGUAACACGUGGGUAAUCUGCCUUGCACUCUGGGAUAAGCCUGGGAAACUGGGUCUAAUACCGGAUAUGACUACUUCACGCAUGUGGGGUGGUGGAAAGUUCUGGCGGUGUGAGAUGAACCCGCGGCCUAUCAGCUUGUUGGUGGGGUGAGGCCUACCAAGGCGACGACGGGUAGCCGGCCUGAGAGGGCGACCGGUCACACUGGGACUGAGACACGGCCCAGACUCCUACGGGAGGCAGCAGUGGGGAAUAUUGCACAAUGGGCGAAAGCCUGAUGCAGCGACGCCGCGUGAGGGAUGACGGCCUCGG